ensembl:misc_RNA Metazoa_SRP Metazoan signal recognition particle RNA
GCUGGGCGUGGUGGCUUACGCCUGUAAUCCCAGCACUUUGGGAGGCUGAGGCGGGUAGAUCACCUGAGGUCAGGAGUUCGAGACCAGCCUGACCAACAUGGUGAAACCCCGUCUCUA